CAUGUAGGUGGGACCUUAAGUCAGCUGUUAAAGAAUACGGCUUAACCGUAUUUUGCAGUUGAUACUGGGGUUCUUGAGUGUGAGAGGGGACAGAGGAAUAUCAGGUGUAGCGGUGGAAUGCGUAGAUAUCUGAUAGAACACCGGAGGCGAAGGCGUCUGUCUGGCUCAUAACUGACACUGAAAUGCGAAAGCAUGGGUAGCGAACA
rnacentral:rRNA from 1 species